rnacentral:rRNA from 1 species
GUAGGUGGCAAGCGUUGUCCGGAAUUAUUGGGCGUAAAGCGAGCGCAGGCGGUUCUUUAAGUCUGAUGUGAAAGCCCACGGGCUCAACCGUGGAGGGUCAUUGGAAACUGGAGAACUUGAGUACAGAAGAGGAAAGCGGAAUUCCACGUGUAGCGGUGAAAUGCGUAGAGAUGUGGAGGAACACCAGUGGCGAAGGCGGCUUUCUGGUCUGUAACUGACGCUGAGGCGCGAAAGCGUGGGGAGCAAACAGGAUUAGAUACCCUGGUAGUCCACGCCGUAAACGAUGAGUGCUAAGUGUUAGGGGGUUUCCGCCCCUUAGUGCUGCAGCUAACGCAUUAAGCACUCCGCCUGGGGAGUACGGCCGCAAGGCUG